CAGCAGAUGAAUUGUCACUUACAUAAAAUUUCAGACAAGAGAAAAAUGGACCUUUGAACAAUUUCUGCAACAUAUAAGAUGUAACGUAUAUCGAGGGAGUGGAGUAGUUAUUCCUCUUCUGAGGCAUGUGGCUUCAGGAAGAAAACAGUGCAUCACAUGCAAGCAGACCCUGAUUGUUCUGACCCGGACCAUGCAGCAGUGAGAAAGAACUGGAGACAGUCGGUCUGCCCUGUCCUUUAUCACCUCAGACAAAACCAUGGGGUAUGUGCAUGGACCAAUAGACACUACUUUUAAAUCCUCUGGCUCCAGAUGCAUGGUGCACAUAUGCAAAACCUUUGUGGAAUACAAUAGGGACCCUCACUCGAAGAACCACCAUCACUGGCCUCUCCUCUUAGG